GAUCUGAAACGCCUCGUAUACAAAAAAGGAAAAAGGUGAUAUAAUUAAUUAGUAAGAGUUUAUUCUAUACAGUGCCAACAUUUAGACUAUAAGACUUCACCAUAGUUCAUAUUGGUUUAAGUCCAGAUUGAUUUGAUGCUCCAGUAAAAAAAUGUUCUUGGACUUACUGAACCAGACACAGACACAAUCUUAUCCUUACUAACUAAGAAGCUUAUAUGCUGCUAAAAAUGCAAAAGUCAUGGUUUCUUGGUAGAUUGGGUUUACUGGAAGUUUUGCCCCAGGAAGCAAAGUCAUGAAAGCUGCUGCUGAGUUGGGUAAGGUACUGAGGUAUAUAUUUAUUUUAUCUUUUGCUUUAUUGAAAAAUAUCAAUGACACAUUACUCAUGGCCUUGUUGCAGCUUGUUUCUAUGGAACUUGGUGGGAAAAGCCCUCUCAUUGUGUUUGAUGACGUUGAUUUUGACAAAGGUGAGUGUCACAAUAAGUAAUUUAAGGGAUAUGGUAUUGUCUGCUUUUACGUUUAGUAGGCAUGUCUUGGAUCCGGUUUAAGCUUUAAAAUGAAAGUUCUGACGCGUGGAAAUGAUCUUAAAUAGCUGUUGCACUGGCUCUAUUGCGGUUGCUUCUGGACAAAUGGUCAGACCUGCAGUGCAACUUCCAGGCUUCUUGUUCAUGUAAGUACCAACCAAGUGUGUUUCAUAACUGGAGAAGUGAAUAUUACAAGUUAAGACUAUAAAAUGUUUCCUAGGAUACUUGUCUGUUGAAUAUGUCUUAUGAUGUAUUUCAAUCUUAGGAAAACAUGGCAUCUGAAUUCAUAGAAAAGCUUGUGGAAUGGACCAAGAACAUUAAAGAUAUCAGACCCCCUUGGAAGAAGGAUGCAGUCUUGGUCCUAUUGUCAGCAAAGAACAGGUAAAAUCUUGAUGGCUUAUACUGAACAAAGUCUUGGUUUUGGUUAAUUUUCUUGCGUUUUUCAGCGGACUUGAUAACUACUUGAGUGUGAAGCAAAUGACUCGCUACAUUUCAGACGAACCAUGGGGGGUGGUACCAAUCCCCCCUACUACUAAGCAAUGAUGGACAACCAAAUUAGCUUUGCGCUUUUUAUCAAUCUGUCAAAGUCUGAUCAUAUGUAAGAUCUUUCAAGUAACAGUAAAGACAAUAUGAAAUAAAGUCAGCUUUGGUGAUACAUUUGUUAUUGCUACAAGGUCAAAGCAUUUAGGGGCACCAUUCUAGGGGCUAUGGUGCAGCAACAUGCAUACCAUUUUAUGUCACCUUCAAGUCACAGCAAAGUUAAAAAACUCACAUGGCUGGCAUUUAAUACAAAAUAAGGACUUGAUUAGAAAAAUAAUGCGUUUAAUGAGAGAUCAGGCGAGACUAGUGGCAUUUUUGUAAUAUAUUAAAAAAGAUA